rnacentral:ncRNA from 1 species
UGCUUGUCAAAUUUUCGAGUGAAAUAAUCUAAGGUUGUUUAAACUAAGAUUUUUUACCAAUGGGUGAAUAAAGAAAUUUAUUUGCCUCCCACUUCGGAAAGGAAAUUUGUCUUAACAAAU